rnacentral:rRNA from 1 species
UACAUAGGGUGCAAGCGUUAUCCGGAAUUAUUGGGCGUAAAGAGCUCGUAGGCGGUUUGUCGCGUUCUGCUGUGAAAACCCGAGGCUCAACCUCGGGCCUGCAGUGGGUACGGGCAGACUAGAGUGCGGUAGGGGAGAUUGGAAUUCCUGGUGUAGCGGUGGAAUGCGCAGAUAUCGGGAGGAACACCAGUGGCGAAGGCGGCACUCUGGGCCGGAACUGACGCUGAGGAGCGAAAGCGUGGGGAGCGAACAGG